AUUUUUUUAUAAAGAGAAAAUGUAUACUAUUACAAACGGUGAUCGCAAAAGUUUUAUAAAGGAAUAAUGUAAUAGUACAGUUCUUCGGGAAGUUACUUUACAUAGUGUACAUAGUGAAGUCGAACUGUCCAUGAUGGGCGAUGAAGAGGGGCCAUGUUUGUUGCAUGUAUAAAGUCGAGAUGUGCUUAAAAACGGAACAGUAUUGAAAAAACAGUUCUAACGAAAAUCGAAGUUUUCUGCAUACUUAUUUAAAGAUGCGUGAGGUAACUUACAAGAUUAUAAUUAGUGUGAUUGCUGAUUCUGAGUAAAUACAGCUUUUAUCCCAGGUGUUUUGAAGACUGAGACAAUAGAGAUUUACCUUUAAGAAUAAAGGAGAGCCCUGGGGAAAUUCUGUAUUUUAUAUAGCAAAAAUGUGGAUCCCCAGAUGGAAUGAAAGGAAAGACCUAUGCCAUAGACAUUAUUGAUUCAUUUACAUCCAGUCAACUUGAAGACUUUCAAAUGGACCUUACCACUGAGAAAUCAAGAUGGCAGCCCACUAUGGGGAAUUGAGGAAAAUGGAUUAAUGCAAGAAUGCUGUGAUAUUAUUCAACCAACACAGGGUUCUUUAUUGUGGAUUCCAUGAAAUGAAUGAUUGUUACCCAACACAAAUGGACAGUGGGAUUUACUUUCUAAAGACUUGUUACAUAGCAUGUACAGUUUAACAUCUGAAGAAGAUGCUACAUUUAUUCAAAUGAUAGUUUGUAUUCCUGGAAUUCCUUAACAGUUUUGCUAUGAGUGACCUUAUGGAAUGUUAACUUCAAUAAAAUAUCUAAAAUUUAAA